CAACAUGAACAAUAAUUGUUUUAUUUUCUGCAUCGCGAGAACGAGCCGACGAUAUGGACGGGAAGGGGGUCGUAAUGCCGUAUUUAUCUUCACAUCUUCGAACAAAACCGCACUACCUAAGCCACAAUACUGAAAAUGGCUAAUGUUCUCCAACAGUGUCGUCACUCAUCAUUGUUGAGUAUGGAGUAUGGAAAGAGAGAUACUUGAACAUGUUGGAAUGUCACCUUGAGGACCAAGAUAUGGGGAGAAUAAUGCUUGAAUGGUGCACAGAUGAGUCUUUUCAACUCUGGUAUGCUUCUCCAAGAAAACGGCCAUGCACAUCACCAGAAUGCUAGAACAGGAUCAGGGAGUGAAUAUCUGAGGAAGGGUUCUUUUCCAGUACUUUGAUACAAUUGUCUUCACUUCAUUUGUUUGCUGUUGGUAUCCGUUGCUCUUCUUUUUUGAUGAAUUCCUGCCUGCAUUCUCUCGUCAAUCAAUCAAGAUAGCGUGCUAUUUCGCAUUCCAUUGGCCAUGUCAUAAUCUACGCAUGAACAUGGACACUGAGUUAAAACUGGUAGCUUGCUCAAUCCCGUACAUCUCUUGACUGUCACCAGCUAUCUAUUCCUAGAGGUUUUAAAGCUACUGUACCACAGCCAAUUUGGACAGCACCAUCUCAAGACAUAAACUCCUGUACCUUGUAACACCAGGAUGUAAUAAAUUGACAGGUUUAUUACUUAUUUGCAAAGAAAAUAAUAUUUUCUUAGUUGUUGGGGUGUUUCCACGCAUUCCUGUAUUUCAAUAGUGAUCUAAUGACCAUCUUGCUUUUAAAACCCAAAUUCACAAUAUUUUUCUUGUUUGAUAAAAGGUUAGGUACUUCUGGGUGGAUAUAAAUGACACACAUGUUGGGUUAAUAAGCAACAGUUGUAUCAUACUUAACUCAGUUUUGCCAAGAGAUGGACUGACUUUAGGUCAUUCUUAUUAUUCAAGUCUAUUGUCUCACUUAUCUUUUUUUUAAUUAAGAAUCAAUGCUUAACCCUAAAAUUUUCUGCGAUCAUUCCGCCGCGCGAAAUUUUUUGACCGCGCCACCGGCAGAGUUUAUACUUUUAAGUCUCGCGCAUCUUUUGAGACCAAAUUUACGACGCCCGGGUAUGCGGUUUCGAAAUUACGCAACAUUUUGUAAGUGCAUGUCAGACCAAAAAUUGUUCCAAAACGUGAUUUUGUGUACAAAGUCAAUGCAAAUUGAGUUUUCUCAUCUUAUUCAUAAAGAUAUGAUUAUUUUUACUUUAA